rnacentral:lncRNA from 1 species
CAUGCUUUUAACCAUUAUGUCAUCUGUCUCAGGAUCAACAAUUUAAAAGGCUUAUCAUGACGUCCGAAGGCACCAUGAAAUCUCACAUGGGAAAGUCCUUGAAGCAGAGGUCAGCACCAUGUUUUCCCCAUCUUGGCUUCCCUGAGUCACUGGAGCCUCAGCCCAGUGUGAGCAGGGCCACUGGAG